UAUGCUUGUACGCAAAUUGAAGACCUAGUUUGGAUAGCCAUGCUUCUUCUCUACUUCUUUUGCUCAUUGUUUCUUCUUCACACUCGUCGCAGGUGGUCUAGCCAUCGGCUCUAGAGGGAGUUUGUGUAAUUUCUCUGUUUCUCCUUCUCAUUCGUCAAACACAACACCUCAUUGCUCCAUCUAUUUCUGCUGUUGCUCCCUCUGUUACUUUGGUCGUGACCCGUCGUCAUCCACCACGACCCGCUUUUGUUGUGUCUGGGGCAUCUGCUUCGGAAUUGGAGUUCUAAUUUGUUGGUGGGUAUAACUCUUUAAGAAAGUCUACUUUUAGGUGGGACACUAGAAGUUCCAAAGAGAUAUAUGAAAAAGGCUUUAUGCCAAGAAGUGCAAAGGAAGAGUAUUAAUGACGAGGAAUAUUUAAAUUUGAGGAGGCAUACAUUGCAAUUGAGGAAAAGAGGAACUACUGGCAGGAGAACAAGCUUUACAAGUUCAACUAUGAGGAAAUAUGAAGGGUCUCCAGAGGCCAGUAAUGGAUUAAGCCAACUAAAAAAUACUUCAAGUUUGAUGAUGGGGAAGAGAAAUAGUAAAGGCAACAAAGAUUGUGUCCUUAAUGAAAAAUAUUUUCUAUAAAGAAAAGCUUUAACUUUAAAAUUUCAGCCUUUUGGGAAAACCGAAAACGAUUAACAUGAGUUAACUAAUGUUAACAAAAUGGAUAUUGUUAGAAAAUUACAGUCAUCUUAGUCAAUUUCAAGGACUUCCUACCAAACUUUGAAAAAAAAAAUUC